UGGGGAAUAUUGGACAAUGGGCGAAAGCCUGAUCCAGCCAUGCCGCGUGUGUGAAGAAGGUCUUCGGAUUGUAAAGCACUUUAAGUUGGGAGGAAGGGCAGUUACCUAAUACGUGAUUGUUUUGACGUUACCGACAGAAUAAGCACCGGCUAACUCUGUGCCAGCAGCCGCGGUAAUACAGAGGGUGCAAGCGUUAAUCGGAAUUACUGGGCGUAAAGCGCGCGUAGGUGGUUUGUUAAGUUGGAUGUGAAAGCCCCGGGCUCAACCUGGGAACUGCAUCCAAAACUGGCAAGCUAGAGUACGGUAGAGGGUGGUGGAAUUUCCUGUGUAGCGGUGAAAUGCGUAGAUAUAGGAAGGAACACCAGUGGCGAAGGCGACCACCUGGACUGAUACUGACACUGAGGUGCGAAAGCGUGGGGAGCAAACAGGAUUAGAUACCCCAGUAGUCCCUG
rnacentral:rRNA from 1 species